UACGUAGGGGGCAAGCGUUGUCCGGAAUCAUUGGGCGUAAAGAGCGUGUAGGCGGUCCGGUAAGUCAGCUGUGAAAGUCAAGGGCUCAACCCUUGAAUGCCGGUUGAUACUGUCGGGCUAGAGUCCGGAAGAGGCGAGUGGAAUUCCCGGUGUAGCGGUGAAAUGCGCAGAUAUCGGGAGGAACACCAAUGGCGAAGGCAGCUCGCUGGGACGUUACUGACGCUGAGACGCGAAAAGCGUGGGGAGCAAACAGGG
rnacentral:rRNA from 1 species